AUUGAACGCUGGCGGCAGGCCUAACACAUGCAAGUCGAACGAGUGGCGGACGGGUGAGUAAUGUCUGGGAAACUGCCUGAUGGAGGGGGAUAACUACUGGAAACGGUAGCUAAUACCGCAUACCAUCGGAUGUGCCCAGAUGGGAUUAGCUAGUAGGUGGGGUAAAGGCUCACCUAGGCGACGAUCCCUAGCUGGUCUGAGAGGAUGACCAGCCACACUGGAACUGAGACACGGGCCAGAAUCCUACGGGAGGGAGCAGUGGGGAAUAUUGCCCAAUGGGGUCAAGCCUGAUGCAGGCAUGCCGGGUGUAUGAAGAAGGCAUUCGGGUUGUAAAGGACUUUCAGCGGGGAGGCGUUACCCGCCGAAGAAGCACCGGCUAACUCCGUGCCAGCAGCCGCGGUAAUAC
rnacentral:rRNA from 1 species